GGGGGGGGGGGGGGGGGUGGGGGGUGGGGGGGAGUGGGGGGGGCGGAUGGGGAGCUGGGUCCGGUGACGUUGGCGGCGGACGGGUGAGGAACACGGGGGUGACCUCCAUAUCAGGCUGGGAUCACUUCUGGAACCCGGAGCUAAUACGGGGUAAUAUUUCGGACCGCCUUGUUCCGUCGGUAAAGAUGGUUUGUCUCUCUCUGAUAGAUGGACCCGCGCCGUAUUCGCUCGUUGUUACGGUAACGGCUUACCAAUGUGCCGAUAAGUAGCGGAACUGUGAGGGGGAGAGGCCACACUGGAACUGAGACAAGGUCCAGACUAGUACGGGAGGCAGCAGAAGGGAAUCUUCCGCAAUGGGCGAAAGCCUGACGGAGCAACGCAGCGUGAGUGAUGAAGGUCAUCGGAUCGUAAAACUCUGUUAUUAGGGAAGAACAUACGUGUAAGUAACUGUGCACGUCUUGAAGGUACCUAAUCAGAAAGCCACGGCUAACUACGUG
rnacentral:rRNA from 1 species